CUCCCCUCCACUACCCCUCAUGACACACACACACACACACACUAUCCCCUCACUAUCUCACAGCCAAAAACUCCUCCAUUGACCUCUUCGCCCCCCCGGGCCCCUCCUCACUACACACAUUUAGACACACUCAGGGUCGGGCACCCACCCAAGUGUUGGCAUGUCGGAGCUGUAAAGGCGACGGGAGUGUCAACAACAUCGCGGCGCUGCUGCAUAAUCCUCCUCGGCCCCUCGAGCGCGGCGCCGCAGAGACGCAGCCCCAAUCAAUAAAUUAGACCUCUCGCUCAACGCGUCUCGAGGGGUAAAAAAUAGCAUCGGGGGCGUCCGAGUCAUUUCUGCCGGGACACAAACGAUGUCAUCUUUAAUUUCGGCGGACCGUUCAAUGCAAGAUGCAUAAUGGCGGAGAUUAAGGGGCCGACUUGGAGAUAAGUGUGAGGAGAGUAACGCUGGAGAGCGAAUGUAGGCCAACGGGACGAUCAAGACGUUCGCCUGUGGCUGAGAGUGACUUUUGUUCCCCGGCGUUGCUGUUUAUCCGCUGUUUUGUUGCCGUAGAUGUCCAACUGCCCAUUGCUAUUGAAUGGGUUAUUGUUCAGCGUUAUUCAUGCCCACGCAUUAUGCAAAUCCCACUCGAGCCAAUCAGCGGGGAAAGCGCUGCACAGUGCCGGUCCUCAAGGAACAGAAGAAUACUUGUCAGCGCGGGUUAUCGUGCUGAGGAAACGUUUUGUGUGGACGAGGCGUCAGCUCUUCUGUUGCUUUGACUGGGAUGAACCGAUGCCAAUUAGUUAGCUGACACAAACACGCGCACACACACACACACACACACACACACACACACACACACCAUCAUGCACACCUCGUACACACAUGAUGGAGAGACAGAUAUUCCUUUCUCAUUCGCAGAAAUACCCAAGACAUCGAUGGACGACACACAAAGCUACAACCAAAUCCUCGCAGCUCGGCUCUCUGCUUCCACAAGAAUACAAACACACACGGGAAUGUUCGCAUGCGUCACUUCUAAAUUUAUAGUAUAUUUAAGUAUAGUGUGCGGUGUCACAUGCAGACAUUUACGCCAUCAAACACAGAAAACUUUUAGUUUAGACUGACAAUCCAUCACGCGCGCACACACACACACACACACACACACACACACACACACACACACACACAAACACACACACACACACAGCAGAUUUAAAAAGACAUGCAACAUCCUAGUUGGUUAAUCACACACACAAUAAACUGAGAACACCUUGGACAUGAAGAUUGAUCUGUUUAUUAUACAUACUCUUUAUUCAAUAUCCUCAAUAAUAUCCAUCAUUAGGCACCCUACACGGUAUGUAGGUAGACUGGGAGUAGAGACUUGGUCUGCAUGCCGGAUGGUUACAAAAAACACAAAUCGACACAUGCUGUCAACAUGGGGGGGGGAAACAAAAAAACCUUCUGUCUGCAUUGUGUGUUGAUUAUUUAUACUUGUGAAACUGAUAAUUUAUUGAGAAAUAUGCAGGGAUACCAUGCAGAAAUGUGUGUGUGUGUGUGUGUGUGUGUGUGUGUGGGUGGGUGCUGUCAGCCUGUGAGAAAGUUCUUGUGCAAUAACGUUGUGUCAGUGCGGCGGUCCUUUGUGUAACCGUGUAACCAGCGCCUGGAAGUGCGUGCCAGACCUCACGGGUACAACGGGGCCGAGCCAGUGCAGGCAAGUCCUCGGACUACCUGCCAGAUGUGGAGCUGGUUAUACCUGGAUGGUUUUGGGAAUGCAAGUGUUAUAUGCAAAUGUAACCGGUUCGGACUGUAACCGAGCAAACUUGGAUAGUUUGACACUAAUAUUUCCCCAGAGCUUCUUCCCUUAUGGAGCCAACAUCAGGUGGCCAUUUAAUGGACGUUUGCCUUUUCAGACUUUUUUCACCACCUGAGGUAGCCGCUUGCUUUGGAAGAAGACUGUGUGUGUGUGUGUUACAGUACGUUAGACUGAGCCAACUGAAUUAUUAUGCUCAUUUAUUAGAUUCAUUAAGUGGUAUUGAACACAUAUUAUAACUCUUAGAAAUCAAAUAAGCCCAUUUUAUAAGUAAAAUUAUUUCUUUUGCUUGGAUGUUCUCAUGAACAUUUCAACAAAAACGCCUGAUUCAAAAAAACUGACCUGUGCAAAUGUCAAUGAGACAAAUGAGAUGCUACUCUGGUCAUUGGUGAGCUUUAAAGAUGCCGGUGUUGCCUUUGGCCGGAGUAAUGCAAACGGGUUCUAGUCUUAAUGCUACGCUGAUGGAUCACAUACUUCAAUGACAAUCACAUUGAAUAUUUUAAACAAUGUCAUCUUUAUUAAAUGGUUGUUUCAAACCAGCUCUCAAGCUCACCGACCUUUGGCGACUGCUAACCAUCUCUCCCAGUUCACAUGUUGACAGUGGAGGAAUUCCAGACUGAACGGGAGCUCAAGCCCCCCAACGCCCCCCCCCCCCCAACCGCCCCGUCCUCCGGUGGCCUUGACAGGCACGGACACGGCAUCUCUGCUCGACCGUGAAAUAGCCACUUGUGUUUUAGCCUGAACAACUCCAUUCCUAUGUGGCUGUCAGCGUGCACGCAC
ensembl:lncRNA